GGGAGACGAGGUGGCCGAGGUGAGGAAGGUCGCGGUCGCCACCGACCGAGUAGUGGCGACGACUGUGGUACAGCUGCCGCGCGGUCGCGGUCGCGGCCUCGGUCCUGGCGUCAUCGUUGCCCACCGAGCGGCGGCGCGGGGCGAUGCCUGCCACCGUGUCCCCGCCGGUAGCGUCGUCGCGACGGCAAGGGACAAUGCCGGCUGCCUCUGCGUCGGCGGCGGAUGAUGACGAAGAGGCCAGGCUCAGGCUGCUUCGCGACGCCGACGCGGUGCUGGGGCUGGCGGGCUUGUGGAAGCAGGACGGGAAUGCGGUGGCGGCCUGAGCCGUGUUCUUCGCCGCGGACGACGUCGCAUGCACGACCUUGGUAGCGGGCACGCCGUUCCUGGCCGUGAGCUUGGCAAGCCAUGCCAGGGGCAAGAAGGACGAGAAGCUGGCCUUGCUCUUCCCCUUGCUCUCUUGCUCCAGUGGUUGCAGGGAUUCCUUGUGCCGUUGCUUACAGCUGCUUCUAAGUCCCCACCUCAUGGCUGCGCGGCCGGGCAACAACUGGGGUUCUUGACGAGUUGGCGUUUCGUAGCUUGGGCGCUUUGGCUGGCUCUUCACCUUGGAGGCUGCAGGGCAGUGUUUGAGAGGGGCUGGGAUUUUAAAGUGGG
rnacentral:misc_RNA from 1 species